rnacentral:ncRNA from 13 species
ACAUAGCGUAAAGGUACAGGUGCCCGCAAGGGCUUCAUAGAAAAGCCGGUGAAAGGCCGGCGCGGUCCCGCCACUGUAAUGGGGAGCAAAGCCAAGAGAUGCCACUGGGAUACAAAUCCUGGGAAGGUUUGGCAGCGUAAUGAUCCAGAGCCAGGAGAACUGCCUGUACAACAAUCACCGUU